AUGCCUCCCAGGCUUUGGGGACCUUUGGUCUAAGCCAGCGCGGGCGAAUGAGUGAGUACCAGCGCCUCUAAAGACUCCAGAGCUGCAGCGCUCACCGUUCUGUUCACGAUGCUUCACAGGGAUCACCCAGGUGACUGACCAUACAUCCCAGUCCCUCCCAUCCGACUUCACACUCUCAGCCCCGCAUGAUCCUUGUCAUCACAUCCCUUUUCCACUCCAGCGUGUCCUGACUUGGGACAAUCCACUGUAGAGUCAGCAGAUGGAUGGUUCACCUGUCCAUCCUUUUCUGAGCACCUACUCUGGACCUGGCUCUGGGGUAAUGACUGGAAUACAAAGGGUAGGAGGACAGGUGAAUGAAAGGAACCCGGCAGGUUCCUCAGUGCAAAGGGCGAGCAGAUCAGCUACUCGGUGAUCUAAGAACCAAUGAAUCAGCUCCACAGAGGCAGGGGGCUCCAUGCCGUCCUCCAAGCUCAGCAGAUAUUCUGGAUAAGAUGCUUCUGAAGGCCACCGAGAUGCCCAACAUGCUCCUGAUGCAAGUCCCAUGCAGGAACAUUGUGGUGGUUUGCACACAUCCAUUGUCCUUGGGACUGAGUCCUCUCACCUGCAGACACAGUAUACGUGUGUGUCCGGCAGUGCUCUCACCCGCAGCUGUGUGCCGCCUCUGACUUGUCUUCCGCACCAGUGACUGGC